rnacentral:rRNA from 1 species
UGGGGAAUAUUGGACAAUGGGCGAAAGCCUGAUCCAGCCAUGCCGCAUGUGUGAAGAAGGUCUUCGGAUUGUAAAGCACUUUAAGUUGGGAGGAAGGGCAGUAAGCGAAUACCUUGCUGUUUUGACGUUACCGACAGAAUAGGCACCGGCUAACUCUGUGCCAGCAGCCGCGGUAAUACAGAGGGUGCAAGCGUUAAUCGGAAUUACUGGGCGUAAAGCGCGCGUAGGUGGUUCGUUAAGUUGAAUGUGAAAGCCCCGGGCUCAACCUGGGAACUGCAUCCAAAACUGGCGAGCUAGAGUAGGGCAGAGGGUGGUGGAAUUUCCUGUGUAGCGGUGAAAUGCGUAGAUAUAGGAAGGAACACCAGUGGCGAAGGCGACCACCUGGGCUCAUACUGACACUGAGGUGCGAAAGCGUGGGGAGCAAACAGG